AGACAGAGGUGGCAAGCGUUGUUCGGAUUUACUGGGCUUAAAGGGCGUGUAGGCGUCCUGGUAAGUCAGAUGUGGAAGCCUUGGGCUCAACCCAAGAAUUGCAUUUGAUACUGCCGGGAUUGAGUCGUUCAUGGGAGGGCGGAAUUCCUGGUGUAGCGGUGAAAUGCGUAGAUAUCAGGAGGAAGGCCGGUGGCGAAGGUGGCCCUCUGGGCAAUGACUGACGCUGAGGCGCGAAAGCGUGGGGAGCAAACAGGAUUAGAAACCCCAGUAGUCC
rnacentral:rRNA from 1 species